CCGCCACAACGGCUUCCUGACGUGGCGGCGUAUUUCUCAAUGGAGCA
rnacentral:ncRNA from 1 species